AAUUUGUAUACUCAGCCAGUGAGACGGUGGGGGAUAAGCUUCAUCGUCAAGAGGGAAACAGCCCAGACCACCAGCUAAGGUCCCCAAAUGGUCACUAAGUGAUUAAGGAGGUGGGAGUGCAUUGACAACCAGGAGGUUUGCCUAGAAGCAGCCACCCUAUAAUGAGUGCGUAAUAGCUCACUGGUCAAGCGCUCCUGCGCCGAAAAUGAACGGGGCUAAGUGACAUACCGAAGCUGUGGGAUAACAUUCCCAGGCGGGAGCCUGGGAACGAGAUCGGUAGGGGAGCGUUCCGAGGAGGGUGAAGCACUAGCGGCAAGCAGGUGUGGACGAAUCGGAAGUGAGAAUGUCGGCUUGAGUAGCGCAAAUAUUGGUGAGAAUCCAAUACCCCGAAACCCCAAGGGUUCCAGAGCCAGGCUCGUCCACUCUGGGUUAGUCAGGGCCUAAGGCGAGGCAGAAGUGCGUAGUCGAUGGACAACGGGUGAACAUUCCCGUACCGUUAAUUGUUGGUGCAGAGGGACGGAGCAGGUGAUGACCAGCCGGAGAUUGGUAGUUCCGGUGUAAGCUACUCGCGGCGUAGAAGUUUGGAGAAAACAAAUUGAGCCGAGAAGCGAAUCCGACUCCCUACGGGGAGGAAGUGGUACAUCGUCAUACUUCCAAGAAAAGCUCAAAAGUACGUUAAGCAAUUAAUGCCUGUACCCGAAACCGACACAGGUGGGGAGGUUGAGAAAACUCA
rnacentral:rRNA from 1 species